rnacentral:lncRNA from 1 species
CUUAAAGGCGAGAGCCUGGAGCCGUCGCAGAGCACAGGCUGCCUACCUCACUCUACAAAGCUAAAGGGCAGAGCCCACCAGCAGCUGCGUGCGCCAGACCAACGGCCCUCCGGGGACCUCCCGCAGGUGGGUCACUUUACUGGCUUUUUUGCCUUGUCACUUUUUCUGUCAGCCCACCCCCAACCCUUCUUUUCUGGACUCUACUUUCCAGCCAGCUGAUACUGAGAUAUUAUAAGCAAACUUGCCCCAUAGCCUUCUCAUACAAAUGUCACCCAAGGCUGCUUCGGGAUCAGUUAAGCCUUUCAGCCAAUCAUUACCUUCCUGAGCUUGUAUUACUCAUCAAGGUGCAUAGGACUCCUAAUAAGAAAGAACCAGGGCUGGGUUCUUUCUGUCUAACUGGACUCGUACAAAUCUGAAGCGCCCAGGGGAAAGCAGCCUGGAAGAACUUAGGUGUGCAGCCCAGCAGUAUAAGGCUACAUCUAAGGACUUCUUCACACAGAGCUGAAACUGGGGAGUCUGUCUUCCUUGGUCUUAAUUUCAAUACUCUUAAGCAGCUUAGCGAUUGCUUUUCUAGAGGCAGAAAAGCUCUAGAUGCAGUUUGCUGCAUGAGGGAAAGAAACCAGUCCAGAGGCAGAUGGUAGGUGGUUUGGGGUUUUUUUCCCCUUUUAUUAUUUGUCUCUGCAUAGCACUUUAAAACAUGAAUGGUGUGUCCUGGAAAGCAAGUUGCCUGAACCGUGGAGUCAGGGUGUUUAGAAUUCUAUUCUUAGUUCUAACAGUGGCCUAUUGGUCCAAGAGAAUUCACACUAUGCAGAGCCAUCAAGGUUAAAAAAAAAAAAAAAGCCUUAAGGUGCUGUGGCUGUGAAAGGUGUUGAAAGUCUUGCUAAUGUUCCAGGUAUAACUGAGUAAUUACUUUCCAUAAUAACACAAGCUUCGUUUUUACAAGAAAACUACCCAGCCGUUCUCACAGGAACAUCUAAAAGUUUCACCACCUUUAUCAUUCAGAGAACACUCUAGGCUUUCAAACCAUUCUUCAGCCUUGCUGUGUGAGAAUGUCCAAUUCCGAAUAAAUGGCAACCAUAUAAAUGUCACUCACAUGAAAGAACCUUUUUUUUUCUGAUACAGUAGGUGUAAUUUUAUAAAAUGGCACAUUUAUUUGAAGCAGUAACUUUUUUGAGAUAUGGCCUUUGGAGUUUCUCAGAACACAGUGAUUUAGCGAGGUGUGAAGUCCUACCCAGCCCCAGCAAGCAUUCUACCGGCAUGGCGAACGCCACCAGCCCAGGAAACAGGAUGGAGCGCUCUCGAGUGUCAGAACCUCGGGGCCGUAAAGUAAACGGUACAUGUGUACAUCAAAACUGGGUCAUCGAAUUUUCUCCAUUUGGCCACAUUUAUGAUUCUGUUGAAAUUCACAUAGCACUGGCAGUUCAGAAACGAGCACCCACUAGGCCAGACCUCUGACUUGAGCAUGUUUUACAGACAUCUGCCUUUCAUAAGCUUACUAACUACUGUUUAGGGGGGAAAUAGAUUUUCAUAACCUUUUGUAAAAAAAAAAUACACUAGAAAUAUUAAGUUCUGCAGUGUGUUUCAAGCUACUUUAGAGAAAUAGAUUCAUUAUAGAACAUAAACAGAGUCUAAUCACCCACACUGCCUUGUCUCUUGAAGGAUUACCCUUAAAUUACCUGUGCCAUCCAUGCCAGUAUUUAAAUGGUACAGAUUUUGCUUUGAAAGAAGACAUGGCCGAUUCCGCAAUCACGAAAACAUAUGUCAGCUUUUCGUGGUUGUCACUCUCCAGUUCCCUUCAUAAUAAAUUCAAGGACUGGGGAGGUGGUUAGUAAGUAGUAUACUUGCCCCCGAACCAUGAGGACCCAAGUUCAAGUCCUCAGCAUUCUCCAUGGCAUACACCUGUAACCUCAGCACUGAGGUGGCUCCAGGAAGGACCCCUGGAGCCCACUGGUCAACCAGCUUUGCCAAAUCGGUGAGCUCCAGACUCCUUGGAUAGGAGGAAGGCUGGAUGGGAAGAAGGAGGAUUCGAAUGGGUGGGACGGGAUCAAGUAAAAUUAAUGAAGGAGGGGUGAAUAUGUUUGAAAUGCAUCAUGCACGUGAAUGAAUAUGUUAUAAUGAAACACGUUAUCACGUAUAAUUAAUGGGUGCUAAUGAAAACAUACGAAAGGAAGCAAUCCAGCAAGAUAGCCAGCAUUAACCUCUGGCCUCCACACACAUGUUCACACACACACACACACACACACACACACACACAAAUGGGUACAUGUGCAUACACCCCAUGCAUACAAUUAAAUUUAGGUAUGUUUUAUCAGCUGCUGGAAAAACCAUAUUCUUAGAAGUCUUGAAAAGACUGGCAAACUCCUGGUGAGAGGGAAACAAAGGUAACAGCAUCGCCCUUUAAAGUUGGAAGGCUUAUUAAGGUGCUCCGUUGAGUGGCCUGAGAUCCAAGGAGGCCACUUGUUAAGCAUCUAUAGCUUAUCUACCAUAAUCCCCACCACAAGAUGGAGGGAUGGGCCGUGCAUAGUUAACUGCCCCCUCGGGCUUUAGAUCAGAUGAGAAAAUAAUAGAAAUGAAAUUUACAAAGACAAGACCUCUGAUGUUCCCUGUGUCUGUUCACAUCCAAAAAAGAAUGGCUUGUUAGUUAAUUAUGAAGACUUCUCGAGCAGUACUCCAUGAUAUGUUAAACCCACUCAGAUGGUUCUCCGUGACUUUUAGGUCAUUUCCAAAAUGGUUUUAAUUAACACUUGUUCUUUUGUUAAGAAGAUAGCAGCACUGCAAAGAAUCAGACUAAGUAAAUAACUAAAGGAUAAUGAAUACAUAAGGCAUUAUUUGAGAAGAAAAUUACUUGGCCUAUAUAGAAAUAAGUUUUCUUCCAAAUUUGUUGAAGAAUAAAAAACAAAGAACGCUUAUGCUUUUUAAAGAUUGUCUUUUAGGAACGUGUCCUUGAAGAAAAAAGAAUGCCCUGGACUACUAAAAAAAAAUAUUUCCACUGUAAUUAAGCAAGCAGGACAUUGACAUCCUGAUCUAAAUUCUAAGUUCUGCACCAUGUUCAGAGUUUAUUCAGCCGUGUUCGGAGAGGUCUUUUGACACUG